AUUUUUUAAUCGGUUGGAGAAACUUUGUCGUUCUCAGGAACUCACUGACCGGGAAAAUAUUUCACAACGUUGUGUUCAGCGCCAAUUCACGGAGGAUUGGGCUAGAAGCCAAUCUGAACAAUCUGAUGUUUCAUCGCCUCAACUUGAUGUGGAAUCAGAAGCCAGUCAUCAAUUUUAGUUCCCAUAGCCUCUACAGACCUCAUGUCAUCCACUUCCUCUACAAUCAAUGAAAAAAUCUCUUGCUCCCCACUAAGACUGCCUAGUGAUUUGGAUUCAAUACAAAUGGG
rnacentral:misc_RNA from 1 species